UGGGGAAUUUUGGACAAUGGGCGAAAGCCUGAUCCAGCCAUGCCGCGUGAGUGAAGAAGGCCUUCGGGUUGUAAAGCUCUUUCGCAAGGAAAGAAAACUUAUCUACUAAUACUAGGUGAGGUUGACGGUACCUUGAUAAGAAGCACCGGCUAACUACGUGCCAGCAGCCGCGGUAAUACGUAGGGUGCGAGCGUUAAUCGGAAUUACUGGGCGUAAAGCGUGCGCAGGCGGUUUUGUAAGUCAGAUGUGAAAUCCCCGGGCUCAACCUGGGAACUGCGUUUGAAACUACAAGGCUAGAGUGUAGAAGAGGGGGGUAGAAUUCCACGUGUAGCAGUGAAAUGCGUAGAGAUGUGGAGGAAUACCGAUGGCGAAGGCAGCCCCCUGGGCUAACACUGACGCUCAUGCACGAAAGCGUGGGGAGCAAACAGG
rnacentral:rRNA from 1 species